ACGGAGGAUCCAAGCGUUAUCCGGAUUUACUGGGUUUAAAGGGUGCGUAGGCGGAUUGAUAAGUCAGUGGUGAAAGCCUACAGCUUAACUGUAGAACUGCCAUUGAUACUGCCAGUCUGGAGUAUGGUUGAGGUAGCUGGAAUGUGUCAUGUAGCGGUUAAAUGCGUAGUGUUGACGCAGAACACCGAUGGCGAAGGCAGGUAACCAACCCAUUACUGACGCUGAUGCGCGAAAGGGGGGGGGUAAUAUAG
rnacentral:rRNA from 1 species